AACGAACGCUGGCGGCAUGCCUAACACAUGCAAGUCGAACGAGAUCUUCGGGUCUAGUGGCGCACGGGUGCGUAACGCGUGGGAAUCUGCCCUUUGGUUCGGAAUAACAGUUGGAAACGACUGCUAAUACCGGAUGAUGACGAAAGUCCAAAGAUUUAUCGCCAGAGGAUGAGCCCGCGUAGGAUUAGCUAGUUGGUGUGGUAAAGGCGCACCAAGGCGACGAUCCUUAGCUGGUCUGAGAGGAUGAUCAGCCACACUGGGACUGAGACACGGCCCAGACUCCUACGGGAGGCAGCAGUGGGGAAUAUUGGACAAUGGGCGAAAGCCUGAUCCAGCAAUGCCGCGUGAGUGAUGAAGGCCUUAGGGUUGUAGAGCUCUUCUACCCGGGAUGAUAAUGACAGUACCGGGAGAACAAGCUCCGGCUAGCUCCGUGCCAGCAGCCGCGGUAA
rnacentral:rRNA from 1 species